CCCCACAUAUUUGUUUUUUCCUCUUCCCUCCUUUCUUUUUCCCUCUUCUUCAAGCCGAUCAUUCAGCCACUUCUUCCAACCCAUCUCUUCAUCUUCUUCGUCUCACUUGCAUGAACGGCAGAGGUCGAAUAGGCGGUCACGAACGGGUAGAGAUCGAAGGUGGGCUCACGAACGGGGAGACGGCAGUGGACGAACAUUUGACGAAUCCAACGCCUGGGUGGGUUUCAUGGUGGCUGAGCUCAGGAGGCUUUACGGUGGCUUGGGAAUAAAAUGAAGAACUCUCUUAGAUUCUUCCUCUCCAAAUCUCACAUCUUUCAAUGAGCUUAACUGUCAAAGGUUGGUAUAUUGAAGGAGGAUGAGGAUGACCUGCGGCGCUGAUACUAUAAAAGGAUAUAGGGUUUUGAAAGAAUAUAAGGGGUGCUCACAGAACUUAUACAACAAAUGCAAGUUAAAGGUGUACAGCUACAAGAUAAUUCGAAAUCUUCUUCAGGAGAAGUGGAAGUGAAGUUUCAACUCACUAAAGAUACACUUGAUACUAUGUUGAGGUUAAUGACUUAUCUUAAUGAUCAGCUCUCUGGAAUGAUCCAACUUAAAGGAGCGUCAAGAGGAACUAGAGGUAUACCAAUUACACCAGCACUAACCAUCGACCCCAAAGAAAAAUAACUUCAAGUAGUUUGCUAUUGUGCAAUGGAGACUAACUGAGGUUUGUCAAAGAUUGGAGCAUGAUCUUGUGAUCCAGAGUUUUAAUGGUCUAUAUUGAGAUGCAUUUCUUUGGCGCAAUACUAGACAACAUUGGCAGUUGAAGUUUUUAGAAUAAAAAAUAUAUUUCACUAACAUUGUAUACAUUUCUUAUUUAAUAUUUGGUGAUGAUAGAAUUUGAUUGUAGUAUAAAUUAUCAUGUAAUAUGGUUUUGUAAGCCGAGUAGACUAAAUAUUGAAAUUAUAUUUUUGAGUAAUUAAUAAAAAUUAUUUUGUUGUAUUUUCUUUUGAAA